rnacentral:ncRNA from 1 species
CCAAGGGUACGGCUGUUCGCCGUUUAAAGUGGUACGCGAGCUGGGUUCAAACCGUUCAGAGGUUGAACUUGUUCGACGUUUGAACAGUUUGAACCCGCAAAGAGAGUUUUAGUUUUUCUGUCUUAUAAAAGUGUAUGUACAUCUCACCAGCGGUGGUGAUACUUGUAUAUGCAAAAAGUGUAGAGAACAACCUUAUUACGGCGGUACUGAGUUUUACUCAGUGCAUAAAGUUGACUAAUAUCGGUGAAACCCGACCAGACAUAUGUCUGAGGGCAAUACCGAGGGAAGUUGGCAGCUCGCUAACGCGACUGCAUUUGGAUUUUCUAAAGCGUUGCUACGCUAAGAAAAUCUCAGCACCUGUAGAGACUGAACGUCGACUACCCCGCCAUGGCGGGGGAAAGUUACAGUCCAUCCCAUUUGGUAACAAGUGAAAAGGAGCGUGAGACAGGUUGGUUCUCUAUCUACCGUGGGCGUUGAUUCUUGAGGAGAUUUGUCCCUAGUACGAGAGGACCGGGAUGAACUGACCNNNNNNNNNNNNNNAUAACCGCUGAAAGCAUCUAAGCGGGAAGCCAACUCCAAGAUAAGGAAUCAUUUGAGACCCGUAGGAGACUACUACGUUGAUAGGCACCAGGUGGAAGUGCAGUAAUGUAUUAAGCCGAGGUGUACUAAUUCGUCGAGUUUCCUGUUAGG